GAACCUCUGUGGAUAGGGGCACGUAAAAAGAGUUUCCCAGUUUCCCAACUGAAAAGCUGACUGUGUGAAUAAAAGAGAUGACUUAGUUAUUGUUUGGGGCAGUGUGAUUUAUUUUUGAGAGAGAAUAGUGAACAAGAGUUGUGCAAGUUGGACAGAAGUUUGUGAAAGACUUUGGUGUUUAUAGUUCGGGUUAAUGCUUAACCCACUGUAAGAGGUAUCUGUUCUAGAUGUUACAGAAGUAGUGUCUACUGAGAGAUGUAGAGAUGGCUUGCCUGUGUGAAGAUGUAUCCAAAGAUAUAGAGAUGGCUUGCCUGGAUGAAGAUGUGACUGAGAGUUGAGAUUGUGGAGGUGUGGUGAUUCGUGGAGGAGUGGUACACGAGAGAGUGCAGUGUGGUGGUAAUGUGGAAAUGAAGUUCCAUGUGUGGGCUAUUUAUUAGCCAUGUUCGGGUAACAUAGAAAACAACGGAUUGUUGUUUUUUAAUAUUAUUAUUAUACUGUGCAAGUAUAAUAAUGGAGGUGUGGUGAAUUCGGAAGGUGAAGAGAAGGAUGAGUUGUGCAAUUAGUUCAUAAUUGUAUUAGUUAACAACGUGCUCAUGUAUGUGUUGAAACAUUAGCAGUGAUAGUUUAUAAUGAAAGAAAGUAGUAUGUGCAAUACUGCUUAAUUAGUUAAUAUAACUAAGUGACUUUGGGCGUUAUAAAAGAACUGUUUUAAUGAAGAUAUAUGAAGUCAUAAGUGGACACUGAUAUUUUAUUUUGAAUAUGUAAUAUUUUAAAUAUUACGUGGUGCUAUAUGUGUGAUGUGAUAUAUACUUAAUACAUUGAGUAGUAUUAGUGUGUAAUUAAUAUUGAGUAGUGUGGUGAUCAUCUGUACUAAGAUGGUGACUGGUGAAAUUUGUUAAAUGUGUGAUGGAGAGAAAGGU
rnacentral:misc_RNA from 1 species